UACAGAGGGUGCAAGCGUUAAUCGGAAUUACUGGGCGUAAAGCGCGCGUAGGUGGUUUGGUAAGUCGGAUGUGAAAUCCCCGGGCUCAACCUGGGAACUGCAUUCGAAACUGCCUGACUAGAGUGUGUCAGAGGGGGGUGGAAUUCCACGUGUAGCAGUGAAAUGCGUAGAUAUGUGGAGGAACACCAAUGGCGAAGGCAGCCCCCUGGGAUAACACUGACGCUCAUGUACGAAAGCGUGGGUAGCAAACAGG
rnacentral:rRNA from 1 species